rnacentral:tRNA from 1 species
GAAAAAGUCAUAGGGGUCUAUGGAGUUGGCUUGAAACCAAUUUUUGGGGGUUCAAAUCCUUCCUUUUUC